GACGAACGCUGGCGGCGUGCUUAACACAUGCAAGUCGAACGGUAAGGCCUUUCGGGGUACACGAGUGGCGAACGGGUGAGUAACACGUGGGUGAUCUGCCCUGCACUUCGGGAUAAGCCCGGGAAACUGGGUCUAAUACCGGAUAGGACUGCGCGGUGCAUGCCGUGUGGUGGAAAGAUUUAUCGGUGCAGGAUGGGCCCGCGGCCUAUCAGCUUGUUGGUGGGGUAAUGGCCUACCAAGGCGACGACGGGUAGCCGGCCUGAGAGGGCGACCGGCCACACUGGGACUGAGACACGGCCCAGACUCCUACGGGAGGCAGCAGUGGGGAAUAUUGCACAAUGGACGCAAGCCUGAUGCAGCGACGCCGCGUGAGGGAUGACGGCCUUCGGGUUGUAAACCUCUUUCAGCAGGGACGAAGCGUGAGUGACGGUACCUGCAGAAGAAGCACCGGCCAACUACGUG
rnacentral:rRNA from 1 species